rnacentral:sRNA from 1 species
GUGCUCCUGGAGCUGUUGGUGGGAAUAUACCCCUCAGGGGUUAUUGGACUGGUCCCUCACCUCGGGGACAGGGAGAAGAGAGAUAGUGUGUGUCCCCAAGGAAAAUAUAUCCACCCUCAAAAUAAUUCCAUUUGCUGUACCAAGUGCCACAAAGGAACCUACUUGUACAAUGACUGUCCAGGCCCGGGGCAGGAUACGGACUGCAGGGAGUGUGAGAGCGGCUCCUUCACCGCUUCAGAGAACCACCUCAGACACUGCCUCAGCUGCUCCAAAUGCCGAAAGGAAAUGGGCCAGGUGGAGAUCUCUUCUUGCACAGUGGACCGGGACACCGUGUGUGGCUGCAGGAAGAACCAGUACCGGCAUUAUUGGAGUGAAAACCUUUUCCAGUGCUUCAAUUGCAGCCUCUGCCUCAAUGGGACUGUGCACCUCUCCUGCCAGGAGAAACAGAACACCGUGUGCACCUGCCAUGCAGGGUUCUUUCUAAGAGAAAAUGAGUGUGUCUCCUGUAGUAAAGUCCUGCUCUGUCGCCCAGGCUGGAAUGCAGUGGUGCGAUCUCGCUCACUGCAACCUCUGCCUCCCAGGUUCAAGCAAUUCUCCUGCCUCAGCCUCCCAAGUAGCUGGGAUUACAGGCAU